UACGGGGGGGCAAGCGUUGUUCGGAAUUACUGGGCGUAAAGGGCUCGUAGGUGGCCAACUAAGUCAGACGUGAAAUCCCUCAGCUUAACUGGGGAACUGCGUCUGAUACUGGAUGGCUUGAGUUUGGGAGAGGGAUGCGGAAUUCCAGGUGUAGCGGUGAAAUGCGUAGAUAUCGGAGGAACACCGGUGGCGAAGGCGGCAUCCUGGACCAAUACUGACACUGAGGAGCGAAAGCCAGGGGAGCAAACGGG
rnacentral:rRNA from 1 species